AGUGAACGCUGGCGGCGUGCCUAAUACAUGCAAGUCGAACGAUGAAGUCCAAGCUUGCUAGGAUGGAUUAGUGGCGCACGGGUGAGUAAUAUAUAGUUAAUCUGCCCUACACAGAGGAACAACAGUUGGAAACGACUGCUAAUACCUCAUACUCCUAUUUGACAUAAGUUAAAUAGGGAAAGUCUUUUCGGUGUAGGAUGAGACUAUAUCGUAUCAGCUAGUUGGUAAGGUAAUGGCUUACCAAGGCUAUGACGCGUAACUGGUCUGAGAGGAUGAUCAGUCACAUUGGAACGGAGACACGGUCCAAACUCCUACGGGAGGCAGCAGUAAGGAAUAUUGCGCAAGGGGGGAAACCCUGACGCAGCAACGCCGCGUGGAGGAUGACACUUUUCGGAGCGUAAACUCCUUUUAUCAGGAAAGAAUAAUGACGGUACCUGAUGAAUAAGCACCGGCUAACUCCGUG
rnacentral:rRNA from 1 species